UACGUAGGGUGCAAGCUUUGUCCGGAAUUAUUGGGCGUAAAGAGCUCGUAGGCGGUCUGUUGCGUCGGCUGUGAAAACCCGGGGCUCAACCCCGGGCCUGCAGCCGAUACGGGCAGACUAGAGUUCGGCAGGGGAGACUGGAAUUCCUGGUGUAGCGGUGAAAUGCGCAGAUAUCAGGAGGAACACCGGUGGCGAAGGCGGGUCUCUGGGCCGAUACUGACGCUGAGGAGCGAAAGCGUGGGGAGCGAACAGG
rnacentral:rRNA from 1 species